UACGUAGGGUGCGAGCGUUAAUCGGAAUUACUGGGCGUAAAGCGUGCGCAGGCGGUUCGUUGUGUCGGCGGUGAAAGCCCCGGGCUCAACCUGGGAAUGGCCGUUGAAACUGGCGAACUGGAGUGUGGCAGAGGGGGGUGGAAUUCCGCGUGUAGCAGUGAAAUGCGUAGAGAUGCGGAGGAACACCGAUGGCGAAGGCAGCCCCCUGGGCUGACACUGACGCUCAGGCACGAAAGCUAGGGUAGCGAACGGG
rnacentral:rRNA from 1 species